AUCCAAUGACAGGGAUCUGUAGCAGGGCCUUCCCAUUAACCAGUUUGUGUCCUCUUUUCUGAAACCCUCCUAGAUGGGUCCCUGUGACCUCUUCUUCAACAGCAGCGGCCGGAAGAACAACAGCUGCUGUUCAUAAACAUUGCUUUACACCUCCUGUCAACCAUUGGAAUUUGUCGCUGCUUUGUUUUGAGUCUGGAACCCCAGCCCAUGAAACGUACUGCGCCAAUGGAUUGUCCUACCUGGGACGACAUCGUGCUCUCGGAUGCACUAGUAUCUGAUUUCCUCUCUGUAUCGGCUGCUUUCGUAUUACUUCAACCAAAGGAUCUGACAGAAACAGCCUAAGAAGGAAAGUUUAUUUCGACUCCUGGUUUCAGAGUGGGGAAGACAUGUGAGAGCCCACGGCAGCCGGAGCAUGUGAUGGAAGACCCUUCGCGUCACAGUGGGCCAGGGCUAGAGACUGGGCUAUCUUCUGAGGUCUGACUUAAAUGACCUCCUUCCGCUAGCAAAGCUCCACUUCCCAUUCCACAGCCUCCCAGAAUAGAACCACCACAUGGGGAAUGAGCUCUCAAAGCCCGAGCCUGUGGGGGCACUUCAGAGUCAAGCGCAAUAUUCUACCACUGGACCCAAAGGCUCGUGGGCAUCUCGUGACUAGAACUGCAUCGUGUCUAAUU
rnacentral:lncRNA from 1 species